CGUGGGAUGGUUUCGGCAGCUCAGCCGGGGGUCGACUCCAUUCAACUUUAUUGAGAAGCUGCGGCUGCGGACAGACUGAGUGCACGCCGGGGACGUCCCUGGUUGGUGUUGCUUGAAGCGCCGAGACCAAAAGUCAGACUCUGAGGGCAUAACUCGAGGCUGAAGGGACCUUAAGACUUAGGCCCGCUUUCUACAAGCACUGAAAUCCUUUGGGCACCAAGUAGCACUUGCACACACUCUAGUGACGGGGAACUUACCACCUUAUGAGCGAGUGUAGUCUUCCCUGGGCAGCACUGUCUGUUGGUGCCUUAGAAUGCGAGUAAGAGCUUUUAUUCGCGCAUUAAGCUUCCAGUGUGCUGUGCACUGAAAGAUUUCAGGAUUAGAAUUACAAAGCAAAAGGAGACCUCAGGUGAAGGAACAAUGACCCAAAAGAAAAGCCAGAAUUUGGACUGUAGUCUAGACAAAGGAUCGUAUUCUUGGGCUAUAUUUACAUAGAGAUGCCAACAAGCCAAGAACAUUGAAUCUCUUCGGCUCAUCUGGCCUGCUGAGUGAGGAAGGCAAUGCGACGCCGCAGGACUGAGCGGAGAAUUUUCUUUUGAAAUAAUGACUGGCCAUUUCAGACACCCUAGGUACAUUCAUCAGUACAUGUGCCUUCCUUUCAAACUCUAUGAACAGCCGGGUUGGAAAAGCCCUCUAGUACCAAUAUUGAAUAGGAGUGGUGAGAAUGGACAUGCUUGCCUUGUUCCCCAUCUUAGAAAAAGCAUUCAGUCUUUCAUCAGUACAAGCCCCUGGAACCUUAACAGAUCCCAUACUAUGGCAGCUUUACAAAUGUUAUUUACGCCCGUGUAAAACAUAGGAGCUCACUAAAGAGUCACAAUGGUGAAGGGGAUGGUGACAUCCAAGGAUGACCACAGGGCCUCUUUCUCAGCUCUGGUGAGAACCAGAUUCUCCCCCACUGGUUCUGUAGCUCCCAGCAGAGUUCUGGAAGCUGAAGAAAGAGAAGAUCAGAAAUAAUAGGAACCUUACUAACCAUUUCCUGUGGCCAGGAUUGUCCCAGGUGAAAAGAGAUACUCUGCAUGAAGACUUGAGACAGUCUUCUCCGUCAAGGAGGCCACAUUCUAGUUGACCACUCACUCUGGGGGAUGCCAGCUGCCAUGUUGUCAAGAGGCUCAUGUGAAGAACUACUGCGCCUGCUGAAAACCACACAAGUGAGCCUAGAAGCCAGUUCUCCAGCCCGAGCAAGCCUUCAGCUGACUGCAGCCCCAGCUGACAUCCUCGCUACAAGAUCUGCUACCUGCCUAAUCCACUUCCACAUUCUUGACCCAUAGAGACUGUGAGAUAAGAAAUGUUGGUUGUUUUAAGCCUUACGUUUUGGACAAUUUGUUACGUGGCAAUAGAGAACUGACCCAGAAGGUAGAAGCACUUAGCACAGUACCUGGCACAUCGUAGGGGCUGGAGGAUCUGUAGGUCUGAAGUUGAGGACAGAGGCCUGGGCUGGAGGUACGGGUUUGGGAAUCUUUUGGCUUAGAGACAAUCCUGGAUUAAUGGAGGUGACUGAGCUACUCCACAGAGAGGGGGAGGCCGAGAGGAGACGAUGGACUUGGCUAGCAGCCUGGACAGAAGAUGGGUAAAGCAAGGAGGAGCAUCUCCAGGAGUCUGAGAGAUGGUGCUGCAGAGGACGGAGGAAAACUAGAACAGGGCACGGGAAGAGACUGCCUCUCACAGGGUAUGGUCCACCUAUCAUCACAGGGAGGCCUGAGAAUGGGAGCUCUGAGGAGGUUCUUUUGGAUUCAACAACCAGGAGAUGACUGAUGGCCCCACAAAAGCUAUUUAGGUGUAGAAGGCGGGCCCUGAGGCCAGAUUGAAUGUGGUGGGCUGGGUGUCAGUGUAAACACUCCCCACCCCAACCCCAAGCCACGAUGGUUCAUAGGAGAAUCCUAUGGAAAAUCCAAACUACAGAAAAUCCGUCUUACAGAAGCUGCUCUAGUGAAUAGACACAUCCAUUCCUUAAUUUAUUUUAUGAGGCUUAUGUAACUUUGAUAGCAAAACCAGACAAGGAGACAAUAAGUGAAAAGAAAAAUAGCAGACAUAUCUCAUUCAUAAACAUGGACACAAAAUUCCUAAAUAAAAUAUUAGCAAACAGCAUAGAGCACCGUUUUGAAAAAUAAUACAUUAUCAAGGUAAAUUUAUUCCAGGAAUGGUUUAAUAACACGAAAUCCAUGAUUGUAAUUCAUUACUUUAGGGUUAAAAAUCCCACAUUUGAUAAAAUUCAACACCCAUUCAUAAUAAAGUAGAAUAAUACUUCCUUACCUUGAUCAAGAGUGUCUAUCAAAAAUCUAUAACAAACACCAUAUUCAAUGGUGACUUAUUAGAAACAGUCAAGAACAAGAUAGAAUUGUCCACUAUCAUCAGUGCAAUUCAACAUAGUGCUGGAGAUUUUAGUCAGUGCAGUAAAACAAGGAAAAAGGAAAUAAAAUAAAGACUAGACAGGAAGAUACCAAACUGUUAUUACUUGCAGACACUAUGACUAUUUACACAGAAAAUUCAAGAGAGCCUAUAAACUUAGAACUAAAAAAGAGCUCAGGGCUGGCCCGGUGGCUCAGGCGGUUGGAGCUUUGUGUUCCUAGCUCCGAGGGCUGCCGGUUCUAUUCCCACAUGGGCCAGCGGGUUCUGGACACAAGGUUGCCAGUUUGAUUCC